AGUGCGAACGAACGAAACAUAUGUUUUUAAAUAAAGUGAACUCUUUUAUAAGACUUCAAUCUUGUUACCUAAACCCUCUCCUCAUCCCAGUUGCAGAGUGGACCAAGAAUAAACAACAUCAAUAACGUCCUAAUCGAAUCGAAGGAGAAUGGGAGAAAUGACGCGUUGAGGCAAUUGCACUAAUUUCUCCAGAGUCUGACAAGUAAUUGACUAGAAGCCAAUCUAUGAUCCCGACGUGAUCGAUUGACGAUCCAGUGGCGUAUCAACGGGUUCUCCCACAUUGGACUUGGAUCUACAUAAGAAUCAGUGAUGAUCAUUAUAAUUACCCGGAAAAAAACAUCAUGAAAGUUGAUUUGAUUGAGAUUUAUGCAAAUGAGGAUUUCAUGGGAGGUAAUUUUUUGAAUUUAUUUCAAAAUGUUGCCAGCAUUGACUUUUCAUCGAUUUGUUAUUGUUGUGGGUAUCAUUUGCGUGGCAUUAUUAUUAUCUUUAAAUAAAUCACUGCAGUAAAUUUAAU